UCAAGUGUUUCUGGACUCACC
rnacentral:miRNA from 1 species